rnacentral:rRNA from 1 species
UUAUGAGGGAGGAAAGAAAUUAACUAAGAUUCCUUUAGUAGCGGCGAGCGAAACAGGAAAAGCCCAGCACUAAGCCCUCUAGUCGAUCUGGCUAGCAGGGGAUGCAGUGUAUGGAAAGUCUAUUAUCUUAUAUGACGGUGAUAUGUUCAAGUCCAUCUUGAAUGGGGCCAUUAUACCCAUAGAGGGUGCCAGGCCCGUAGCAGCUAUUACCAGUAUAAGAAGAUUAUUCCGAAGAGUCGUGUUGCUUGAUAGUGCAGCACUAAGUUGGUGGUAAACUCCAUCUAAGGCUAAAUAUAACCAUGAGACCGAUAGCGAACAAGUACCGUGAGGGAAAGUUGAAAAGUACUCUGAAUAGAGAGUUAAAUAGUACGUGAAACCGCUUAGGGGUUAAGCCCGAUGAACCUGAAUAUCUGAAUUGAGAAAUUCAAUGCUAUUUUAGUAAUUUAUCCUUAAAAAAUAAAUGAACAAUGGUAUGCACUUUUCUCAUAGUAAGACAUUGCGAUCCAUUAAUUAAAUUUUUUAUCAAACGGCCCAUUAGAUUUGUUUAUUCUAUCUGUGUUAAACUUGUUUGACAUAUGAAUAAUGCCUAUGGUGACCUGAUAAAUAAUUGAUGGAGCUUAAUAAUCAUGCAAAACAUGUUUUAACAAUGUAUCACGAUUUAUAUAUAUUUUAUAUAUGAUUGCAGUGAUCGCAUGUAUUUGAUUAGCAAUGCGAUAGAUUUGGGAUACCUUCGGGACCCGUCUUGAAACACGGACCAAGAAGUCUAACAUGUGUGCAAGUCAUUGGGUAUAUUGUUGAAACCUAAAGGCGUAAUUAAAAUAACUAUUUAAUGGGAUUACAAGUAAAAUAAUUAAAAAAUUUACUUCUCCAUCCCGGGGCGUUCUAUACGAACAUGGUUUAAGCAAUUAGAUCCUCUGUUCAAGAGCGUACCUUGAGCAUACAUGCUGUGACCCGAAAGAUGGUGAACUAUACCUGAUCAGGUUGAAGUCAGGGGAAACCCUGAUGGAGGACUGAAGCAGUUCUGACGUGCAAAUCGAUUGUCAGAAUUGGGUAUAGGGGCGAAAGACCAAUCGAACCAUCUAGUAGCUGGUUCCCUCCGAAGUUUCCCUCAGGAUAGCUGGUGCAAUAAGAAAUCUAAUAUAUAAUCUUAUCUGGUAAAGCGAAUGAUUAGAGGCCUUGGGGCCGAAACGACCUCAACCUAUUCUCAAACUUUAAAUGGGUAAGAACCUCAUCUUUCUUGAUCUGAAGAUAUAGAGGUUUAGAUAUAUUGUGCCCAGUGGGCCACUUUUGGUAAGCAGAACUGGCGCUGUGGGAUGAACCAAACGCGAUGUUACGGCGCCUAAAUUAAUGACUCAUAUUGAUACCAUGAAAGGCGUUGGUUGCUUAAAACAGCAGGACGGUGGACAUGGUAGUCGUAAUCCGCUAAGGAGUGUGUAACAACUCACCUGCCGAAGCAACUAGCCCUUAAAAUGGAUGGCGCUCAAGUCAUAUGCCUAUACAUUGCCGCUAGAAUAAUAAAAUUUUUGUAUUUUAUAUAAAAAUUUAUGAAAUUCUAGUGAGUAGGAGGGUACAAUGGUGUGCGCAGAAGUGUUUGGCGUGAGCCUGCAUGGAGCCGCCAUUGGCACAGAUCUUGGUGGUAGUAGCAAAUAAUCGAAUGAGAUCUUGGAGGACUGAAGUGGAGAAGGGUUUCGUGUGAACAGUGGUUGAUCACGAGUUAGUCGGUCCUAAGCUCUAUGCGAAAGCUGUUUAAUUUAUGUUACUAAUAAUUUACUUUUUUUUAUGUACAUAUAUUUAAUAAGAGCGAAAGGGAAUACGGUUCCAAUUCCGUAACCUGUUGAGUAUACGUUUGUUUACUAAAAAUGGGUCUUAUUACCACUCAUCCUGGCAACAGGAACAACCAUAGAGAAGCCUUCGAGAGAUACUGGAAGAGUUUUCUUUUCUGUUGAACAAUCGUAUCACCAUGGAAGUCUUUCACAGAGAGAUAUGGUGAAUGGAUUGGAAGAGCAUGACAUUUACUGUUGUGUCAGUAUUUUCUCCUUGGACCUUGAAAAUCUAUGGUGGGGCCACGCAAACAUCUCAACAGACCGUACCGAUAUCCGCAGCCGGUCUCCAAGGUGAAGAGUCUCUAGUCGAUAGAAUAAUGUAGGUAAGGGAAGUCGGCAAAUUAGAUCCGUAACUUCGGGAUAAGGAUUGGCUCUGAAGAUUGAGAUAGUCGGGCUUGAUUGGGAAACAAUUAUAACGGUUUAUGUGCUCGUUCUGGGUAAUAUAGAAUUAAUGUGCAAAUGUUAAUUUGUUCCCCGGAUAGUAGAUUUCAUAACCAAAUUGUGGAACUUUCUUGCUGUGCUGGUAAAUGGUUUUAAUCGACUAUUUAUCGAAAACGAUUAUCAAUAAACAAUUAAUUCAGAACUGGCACGGACCUGGGGAAUCCGACUGUCUAAUUAAAACAAAGCAUUGUGAUGGCCCUAACGGGUGUUGACACAAUGUGAUUUCUGCCCAGUGC